GGUUAAGCGACUAAGCGUACACGGUGGAUGCCCUGGCAGUCAGAGGCGAUGAAGGACGUGCUAAUCUGCGAUAAGCGUCGGUAAGGUGAUAUGAACCGUUAUAACCGGCGAUUUCCGAAUGGGGAAACCCAGUGUGAUUCGUCACACUAUCAUUAACUGAAUCCAUAGGUUAAUGAGGCGAACCGGGGGAACUGAAACAUCUAAGUACCCCGAGGAAAAGAAAUCAACCGAGAUUCCCCCAGUAGCGGCGAGCGAACG
rnacentral:rRNA from 1 species